GACGAACGCUGGCGGCGUGCUUAACACAUGCAAGUCGAACGGAAAGGCCCUGCUUUUGUGGUGUGCUCGAGUGGCGAACGGGUGAGUAACACGUGAGUAACCUGCCCUGUACUUUGGGAUAACUUCAGGAAACUGUGGCUAAUACCGGAUAGGAGCUCCUGCUGCAUGGUGUGGGUUGGAAAGUUUCGGCGGUUGGGGAUGGACUCGCGGCUUAUCAGCUUGUUGGUGGGGUAGUGGCUUACCAAGGCUUUGACGGGUAGCCGGCCUGAGAGGGUGACAGGCCACAUUGGGACUGAGAUACGGCCCAGACUCAUACGGGAGGCAGGAGUGGGGAAUAUUGCACACUGGGCGGCAGCAUGAUGCAGCAACGCCGCGUGCGGGAUGACGGCCUUCGGGUUGUAAAGCGCUUUCGCCUGUGACGAAGAGUGAGUGGCGGUAAUGGGUAAAGAAGCACCGGCUAACUACGUG
rnacentral:rRNA from 1 species